rnacentral:rRNA from 1 species
CUAGUUGGCGGGGUAAUGGCCCACCAAGGCGACGACGGGUAGCUGGUCUGAGAGGAUGGCCAGCCACAUUGGGACUGAGAGACGGCCCAGACUCCUACGGGAGGCAGCAGUGGGGAAUCUUGCGCAAUGGCCUAACGGCUGACGCAGCGACGCCGCGUGUGGGAGGACGCCUUUCGGGGUGUAAACCACUGUUGCCCGGGACGAACAGCCUGUUUCGACAGGCCUGACGGUACCGGGUGAGGAAGCACCGGCUAACUCCGUGCCAGCAGCCGCGGUAAUACGGAGGGUGCGAGCGUUGUCCGGAAUCAUUGGGCGUAAAGGGCGCGUAGGUGGCGGGACAAGCGUGCGGUGAAAGCUCGGGGCCCAACCCCGAGUCGGCCGUGCGAACUGUUUUGCUGGAGCACUGUAGAGGCAGGCGGAAUUCCGGGUGUAGCGGUGGAAUGCGUAGAGAUCCGGAAGAACACCGGUGGCGAAGGCGGCCUGCUGGGCAGUUGCUGACACUGAGGCGCGACAGCGUGGGGAGCAAACAGGAUUAGAUACCCUGGUAGUCCACGCCGUAAACGAUGGGCACUAGGCGCUUGGGGGAGCGACCCCCCGAGGGCCGUAGCUAACGCAUUAAGUGCCCCGCCUGGGGAGUACGGCCGCAAGGCUGAAACUCAAAGGAAUUGACG